GGCUGCAUAGCUAUCAUUCCUCCUUGCCGCAAUCUUGGGUGGAGCCGGACUGGAGGUGGAGCUUGCAGUUCUUGCCGUUCCUGGGCGCGCAGUCGCAGAUGCAGCCCUCCAGCUUCUGGUAAGGGUAGUUGUCGCAGGUGAUGUACCCGCCCUGGAUGCACCGGACCAGCGAGCAGUCCACCCUGCUCUUCCUGGCCGCAGCAACCUGCUCGCCGAACACGACGAGCCCUGAAGAAGAAGAAGAAUCGAUUGAGAUUCACACGAGUCAGAACUCAGAACACCACUUCGUUAUGGUUAUGGACGAUCACUUUGCAGGACUGGGGGUCGAUCGAUGCGAGCGUGCGUGCGUACCGGAGAGGAGGAGGACGAAGGCGAGCGAGAGCUUCAUGGAGACAGCUGCAGCCAUGUCGAUCGGUUCGGUUGGCAGGAGCACGGUGCACGGCCCGGGCGUGUACGCGAGUGCAUAUAUAUACGAAAAGGAGAUGCAGAUCACGAGCUGCCACUCAUCAUCGUCGUCGUCGUCGGCCGCCGUGCUGUGGCUUCGGCGAAACUGUCCGGAUACGCCGCUUCCUCUGACCCGCCGUACGCGCCGCACCGGCCCACGAGGGUCUGACGCGAGCUCGCGCGUCGGGAUAGGCGAAGCCAGCGGUGGCCGUGUGCCAUUUCCUGCCUGACUAGUGAUUGGCGCGCGCGCGUAGAAUUGCACGAUUUUGUACCAUGUCUUAUACAAAAUAGUAAAAGUGGAUACGAUUUUAUACCAUAUUUUAUACAAAUAGAAAAAUGAAUACGAGACAACAAGAACAUCUUACUGUUACUAAUUGGAGGCUGCUUUUGAAGCCUCCAGGUGAAGCCACCUAGGAUUCCUAGGUGGACACUCUAGAAAAAGAGAGAAAUCCUAGAAAUUCUCAAAAAAACCAAAACAUCCGACCAUUGAUCUAUAGAUUCAAAUCAUCAUAGCCAUUAAAUCUAUUAUGUUUUCUAAAAAAUUACCCACCUAUGCCAUUAUGAAAAUAACCUAAAGUAACCCCCUAAAUCUAUAUAUAAAUUACCUACCUCUGCCAUUAUAUAAAAUAAACUAAAAUAACCCCCUAAUCUUCAUCAAAAUUACUCACUUAUGUCAUUAUAAACAAUAUUUAAAAUAACCUCCUAAUUUGCAACCAAAUUGCCCACCGCUAUUAAACUUAAAGUAACCUGUUAAAUUUGCAUCUAUAUUACCCACACAUGCCAUCAUUAAAAAUAACAUGAUAACCCUACGUUUGAAUCAAAUAACCUUAAUUAAAAUAUACAACAAUAUAUGAUUCUAAAUCGUCUAUAUCUUGCACUAUUGGUAUAUGAUAUAAUAAUUAAGGUCUAUACACAUGAUGUGUCACCAUUUAUAAAGAUAUAGAGGAAGUGAUGAGAAUAUAGAUUUCUAUGUUAAAAUUGUAUCACAAACUUAGGGUUCAUUAAACAAAUUCAAACGCAUACCUGCGAUGCAAAGUGAAAAGUUAAAGAUUAUAAAUGUGGAUGAAAAUAUUAUAGAGUAAUUACUAACUAAAAUCUAUGACAAUUAGAUGAAGAUAAUAAGUAUAUAUCUAUUGUGUUUGAAUAUUUAACAAACGAGAGGUAGCUUAUGGUAAUAUUUUUGAGCAAUGUAGUCCCAUUUUUUUCAUUGGAGACUCCACAUUAGUUCCCAUGAGACAAGCUAGAAAAAAAAGAGACAAAUUCUCAUAAAAAUCAAAAAUAUCAAACACCAAUCCUAUAAACUCUAAUAAUCAUAGCCAUUAAUCUAUUAUAUUUUCUAAAAAGUUACCCACCACUAUCAUUGUGAAAAUAUUCAAAAAUGAGCUCUAAACAAAUUACCGAGCUCAGCUAUUAUAAAAAAUAAUCUAAAGUAAUCCCAUAAUCUUCAUCGAAUUUACUAAUACAUAUCAUUAUAAAGUAUAACUUAAAAAGUCAUUCUAAAAUUUUAUCUAUAUUACCCACGUAAGUUGUUAUUAAAAAUAACCUAAAAUAAACAUCUAAAUCUUAAUCUAAUUAUCUUCAUGUGCAUCAUGGAUAAAUGUCAAAAAUAAACUAAUAUAUGAUUCUAAAUUACCUAUUUAUGUCAUUAUUAAUAUAAAAAUACUAAGUUAAAGUAUAUACACAUGAUGAGUGUCACCAUUUAGACCAUUUAUGCAUGUACGUCAGGAAUCGAUGAAAAAUAUUGAUUUGUAUGCUAAACAUAAUGUAUGGAGGAUUGGAGGUGCGAUACAAAAUGGAAAAAGUAUGAAUAUGGAUGAAAAAGUGCAUAGAGUAAUUAUUAAUUAAAAAUCAAUCACAAUUGGACAAAGAUAGGUACAUAUCUAUAUAAGUAUUAUGUUGACGUAUUGAAAAAAAUAAGAGAGUAGUAGGUAAUCAAUUUUGAUUAUUAGCUAGGAGUUUAAUUUCUAAAUAAUUUUCAAAUACAAUAGCUUCUAAAAAUAUUAGCCCGUGCGGGAGCACGGGUUGAUGGACUAGUAUAAUUUAAUAUUGCAACAACAUUUUGGCAAACUAUAUCCCGAGAAUAUGGUGGCAUAGCCACGAAAAAGUAUUGUGCCAUUGUCACAAAAAGAAUUUAAGCUUCAAUUGAACAAAACAAAUUCACAAGAGUCAAUUUCACUUGGCAUACAAACCAAGUACAUUUUUUUACGUACUAAGUAGACGAAGAAGUCAGCACUUGCAAGUUUGAGACUGUUGAGAUAAUAGCGUAAAUUUAUAAAAACUGACACGUACGAUAAUUAUCCAACAGAGGGAUAAUUAUAAACUCAAGCUAACCUAUCAGGCUCGGUUGAGUAGCAAUCAGAGGACGAAUAAGAGACAAUAAUCUGCACUGUUUUACCAAACCUAAUAUUUUCAGAACAGAGGACGGACAAGAGGCAACAGCCUUUCUCUGCUUUACAAAACCUAAAAUUUUCAGAACAAGAAUUCAGAAAUCAUAUAAUAAAUAGUAAUAUUUAAUUGUUUGCAACGCAAUGAAAGAUGAGGGGAAAAGCUGAUACCUAAUUUUUGACAUGGGAUGAGAAGUACAAAGAUACAUCUAAUUGGCCACGCUCUGGUUGGCGUUGCUAUGUCGCAGUAGUUCAUAUUGAAGAAAAAACUGUAGUCAACCUGCGGCGAAGUAGAAAAGAAUGAGUCUGCUUUCUGCAAUCACUUUGCAUGAGAAAAUAGUAAUGGUACUAAUCAACUAAAGGUAUAAUGUUUAACACACUGAUCAAUACUACAAAUUGGUUGAAGUCUAGCCGCCUCCCUCCCCCGUGACGCACCGGCUCUCCACGCCUCUCCUUUGUCGCCUCCGUGGCUUCGUACCUUCGGCCACGCAUCCCCCAUGCCUCACCUGGCCGCCUGUGCCACCCGUAACCACGCCGUUCUUUUGGUGUUGUCAGGCUUGGCGUCAGCAUGCGGUGCAUUCUGAAGUUCCGGUCAGCGGGAGCGGAUCUAAGCCCUUGUUUACUUCACCCCCCAACUCCCAAUUUUGGCACUAUGCAAAAAGAAGAUUAUCAUCACAUCAAACUUACGGUACAUGCAUGGAGUACUAAAUGUAGAUGGAAUUAAAAACUAAUUGCACAGUUUUGUUGUACUUUGCGAGACAAAUCUUUUGAGCCUAAUUAGUUAAUGUUUGGACAAUAAUUCACAAAUACAAACGAAAUGCUACAGUGUGCUACAGUGCCAGCACAGUAAUUUGGUACCUCCCAAUUUAGCCAACUAAACAAGGCCUAACAGAGAUCGGAUAGCUUUUAACAUAAGCCACUGCUUCGCUGCAAAUCAGUAUAGAACAGCUAGACCACACUUGGAUUGGUCAAGUCCUCGAGUUCACACCGAAUCUAGUGAAACAUAGUAUGGAGUAUUAGUAACGGUCUGGCCAGUGGCCUGGAUUACAAAUCUGAGACUGAACCCCGAUCGCGCGCCGAUCAAACUUCUGCAGACCAAAACUUUAUAUCACGCGUGACAUCAUUCACAUCCCAGGACUGAGAUCUUGCGUCGAUGCAACUAAAAAAAACUAAGAGGUACAGAAGAAAAAAAGAGAAACUACGACAAAGCCAGCUCAAGGAACGGAAAUAGUCAAGCGAGGCAUAGCAUACUGCUACUUCAUUAUUCAGCAACAUUAUUCCAUCACCGUUCCUACCAGACACCCCCAAAAAUCCACAGGAUAUGGGCUGCUCUCCUGGCCGUCCAGGGCGUAUAGCUACGCCCCAUGCGCCGGGCAGUCGAAGGUGUCGCCGCUGCUCAGGAGGUGGAGCUUGCAGUUCUUGCCGUUCUUGGGCGCGCACUGGCAGUCGCAGAUGUCCAGCUCCUGGGAGGGGUAGUUGUCGCAGGUGAUGUACCCGCCCUGGAAGCACUGCACCCCGCACGCCGCCCCCGUCUUCUUCCCAUCGGCCUCGCCGAACACGACGAGCCCUGCAGAGUGCACAAGCAUAUGAUGCAUUAGAUGGGCAACACGGUUACAAAUCAUGCACAGGAUCGGAGAUGCCGGCCGGCGGCGUACCGGAAAGGAGGAGGAUGAAAGCAAAGGAGAGCUUCAUGGAGGCCAUCUUCUUCAGUUGGCUUAGCUCGCGGUGUGUGCUGCCACAGCACCCUGACAGAGAUCGACGGCUCUGUACAGUGGAAGCUGGAAGCUACAGUAGCACAAUGCGAUCGCAACGCGGCCGGGGACUUCAUUAAAGUAGCAUAUCCUGCCAUUGUUUCCGCUGCAGACACAUGGAUCAUUCAGAGUUUUCAGGCUGGUCAAGUCGUGGAUUCCACACUAGAUAUCGAGAGAAUCAGAGAAAGGUAUGCUGUUAGAGGCGUUGACUUCUUUGCAUGCACGAUUGGUUUGUAAUGAUGCUGUUUUUUUAAUGAGAAGUUUUGGAAUGAUGUUUUACCGUCUUCUCUUAUCAGCUUAACCUUUUAUAGGUAAAUUAACAUGAAAGCUAAGAUGAAACGUGAACCAAUGCCCCGAGCACAUUUGACUAUUAUUUGUAGUAGAUCACGAGAAGACAACAACCUCUUCGUGCCUCAUUGCUUGUCCAACAAGAUGAAGGAAUUCAAAUUAAUACGACCGUGGUAUAAGAAUUCAAUGCAAUGGCUGAAAAUACAUGUUUAAUCAGAAGCUCUUGCUUGAUUAGAGCCUUAUCCAUUGAGCCAUGAUACAUAAAAAGCUUAAUGCAUGUCGUCUAAUUCAAUUUUACAAAUUCUUGCUUGAUUUGGUUGUUGGCUACCAAAAAUUUCUAAAAGCCAAAAGGGAGGCGAAGUGGGCGGCAUCCUAGCCAUGUACUUACAAAUUUGCUUCGAAUCCAAUCCAAUAUAGUUGUUUGUUUAUUCAUUCCAUGGUGAUAAAUAGAGAUGGAAAUUUAUUAGAUGGGGUGGGAGGUGUGGGGCUUGCCCCCUGCAUUUAGUGUUAGAGAAUGCUGAUUUUAGGAAAAGCUCUGGAUUUGUAUCUUUUCGUUCUAGCUUUUCUUUCAUGAAUGGAGUGAUUUUUAGGGUUUAUUUCUUAAAAUUUUCAUUCUUCUAAUCCAACUCUAGUUCGAUAUUUAGGCUGCAUUGGGGUGUGAUCAGGACCUAGGUCAUGCAGAGAAUUUUAAAGUAUCGUAUUCACGUUCGAGAAAAAAAUCGGCACUUUAUCCCAAGUUCAGAUCGAAAUUUGCAUCAUUUCAAGGGGAAAAAAUUGUUAGAUCUUAUCCAACAAGAUCGAACGGAAUUUUGGACAUUCGAGUUUAUCUUCAGCAAAAUGUAAACUGUUGUAAAAGAAAUCGAAGGAGUAACUAGCAGAUCAAUUAUUACAUCGCAGAACACAAUUUAUCAUAGGUGAAUGCACAAAACCGGGGGAAAUGCAUAUAUAAGGAAAUAUGAACCCGCUUAUUAUCAGCAGGCCAACCAAACUGGUGCUUGAGUUCACACUGAAUGAAUUUUGGUGAACAACGUGUCACUGUUUUGGCUCAUUGGAGCAAAUGCAGGGUUCAGAAAUGCGGCAAAGUUUCGUCGAUAUUUACCAAAAGUGCCUGCAAAAUAAGGUCCCGAAGCUUUGCCAAAGGGACCGAGCAAAAAUAGCUCCGCCGAAGAAGCUCCGGAUUUCCCGCUGUCUGGUGCCGAUGGACGAAGCCGGAGCCUAAAAAUGCGGCUCCCUGCGGCUCCACCCCAUCUGCGAGGAUAAAGUUCCAAGCUUGACCAUGUCGUAGGGAGGCGGGGGUGGAGAGGAGAGGCGGCCGGCGGUGGCGGGGUGGAGCUGGAGGGCGACGGGGCAUGGGUGACGGCGGCGGCAUGGGCCUGGAGGGCGACGGUGGCAGGAGCAGAGGCGGAGCUGGAGGGCGAUGGGCCACAGGUGAAUGGAUAAGAAAGAGAGAGGAAGGGAAGGGAAGGGGAAAGAAUAGGAAGAGAAGAGGAAAGGAGAAAGGGAAAAAGAAAAAAAAAGAAGAGGAAAGGAGAAAGGGAAAAAGAAAAAAAAAGAAAAGGAAGAGAAGGGGAAAUAAAGAGAAGAGAAAAAAUUGGAAGAAAAGAGAAAAUUUAAAAAUAAAAAUAAAAAGAAUAAGAGCAUUAUAGAUAUUUCAUCGUUUUUAUACUUGUUACACAACUACGAGAAGCUGUUUUGCCAAAUAUUUUUCCAUCCAGACAAGCCGAAGCUAAAGAAAAGCUACUUCAUCGAAGAAGCCACAGCCGCAGCCGUUUCAGCCACAACCGCAGUCCUGCCAAAUGAGCCCUGAAUAAUUCCGCUAUAAAAAAUAUUUCAAUCAUGGUAAUUAUUUAUAUAUAUAUAUAUUAUUAUUUUAGAAGUCAGUUAACCAGCCAUCAACUUGUAGUUCAGUGAAAUCGACCAAAACAAGCACGAGCAUCUGGAGAGCGUGGCAUCACAAAUUCACAACUGACCCUGAAGAGAAGCAGACGAUACAUUUUCCAACGACAUCAAGCCAUACAUACACACUGAUCAGUUACCGAGCAGGUAAUGAUCCAUUAUCCAGCAACAUUAUUAUUUGAUCGGUUGAACUAAUAACUCACGAUCUCACAAAGACAUUACACCAACGGCCACAACGGGCAUGAAACUGCAUGCCUUAUUUUAUCGGAUCACCCCUUCACUCAGAGGCCUAGUGCUUUGGGCAGUCGAACGUCCCACCGGUGCUGAGGAAGUGGAGCCUGCAGUUCUUGCCGUCCUUGGGCGCGCACUGGCAGUCGCACCCGCCCAGCUGCUUCGACGGGUAGUUGCCGCAGGUGAUGUAGGAGCCCUGGAUGCACCGAACCGGGCACGCCGCCUCCGCGCUGCCCAUCUCGCUCAGCACCAAGAGCCCUGCAGCGUAUUGAUCGAUUAGCCGAGCAAGAACCAAGAACCUUAUGGUUGCUCGAUUCCGUGCUUGAUUUGCAGCUAGCCAGCUUACCGGAGAGGAGGAGGAUGAAGGCGAAGGAGACCUUCAUGGAGGCCAUGGCCGCAUCCGGUUGGAGCUCUUCUCUGCUCGAGCUCGCGACGCCUGGCGGCCAUGGAAGCUUGAUCCGGGCCUGUGCCUGCUUUUGCGAACUGGAGAGUAGGAAACUGGCCCCAUACGACUGGGAAAUCACACUGUUUUCAGAACUUGAUCAGGGCUGAACCUGGGAAAUUGUGCUCAUCGUGAGCUCAGGAGGCAGAUCUCGAGUGUGUCUGUCUGUCUGCUUAAUUUCCUUGUUUUGCUGUCUGUUUCAUGCUGAAGAGAAGAGAAGUUCGUGUAGAAAAACAUAACAAUGUUGCCUUGAUGUCAGAUACAUCUUGUGCUUCUCAUCAGCAGGCAGGGGAAGGUGGCUGACAAAAUGGUACACUCCAUAUACACAGAAGCAGAGAUCCAAGGUAUGAGUAUAUCAGCAGGUUUCCACUGUAGUUUACCAUUGUUUUGGCUGGAGCCUAUCUUGCAUGAAUCCCAUGGUGUUCAAAGGACUCAACCACAUGUAUUUUCUUUUUAUUCAAAAGGCAAUCAAAGAAAUAAGUACGCUCGUACUGACAAUAGGCCCCAAGCUGUGCAAUUUUGUUUACCGGCAAGGUUACAGAGUUGUAUACAAGAGGCCGGUGAGGAGUCAUUCUGAAUGAUAUUUAUCAAACUUCAUUCCUGAUUAUCAGUUACCAGUUUGAAGCGCUUGCACAGUGGGUAUCCAUGCAAAAUUGCUGCCGGCGGACGGUCAGAUCAUAUCUCUGAAGGAUCUGCCACUAUGUUACUGCCUGGUUUGCUGGCCUAGCUAGGUGAAGAACGUGAUCGAUCAAACGCCCAAUCACACGCAUGCAUGAUGAUGCACCUGAAUCAAGAGCGCAUCAAGAUUUCCAGACAUCACGAUGCUUGUUCAGCCACGGUAACUGGUGACUGGCCUUGCUUUCUGAUGGUUUAACAGCAUUGUUUAUAAACGUAUGCAGAUCCGGGGAACGUAGCGAGUCUUCCCGUGCCUCACAUAGGGAUGGAAUUCAACGCAAUGCGAGCUAGUAACAAACUACUCCCCAUCAAGCUGAGGUGAAAAAAAGAUGCAGAGAAUACCAGGUUGCUACAGCUCCAUUUCAAGACUAGGUGAAAGGCAUGAGAACGGUUGCCACGCAAAGCAAAAUCUAGCAACCUGGAGACUACUCACUACUGUAUGCAACCGCAAAAAGGCUAGCGUGUUGGGUGAGGGUUGCCCCCCACCUGUAUGUUAUGCUAACCAUCAUCAAUUUUUGAUACGGAACUAAUCCUAACAAUGACACCACUACAGCGUCAGACUCGGAGGAGAUAAGCGCAUGGCUGUCAUGGAGUACUUCACUAUCAUCAAUUUUUUUACCAAACAUACUUCACCAACAACAAGCGACAAUAUUAUUCAGAUGAUCACGAUGCCUUGUACAAACCAGCGAAACCACGAGCAGCAAGGGUGAGCUUGUAUCACCCCUGCGAGGCUCCAGCCAAAGCCUACGCCUGCGCUGGGCAUUUGAACGUGUCGCCGGUGACCAGGUGGUGGAGCACGCAGUUGAUUCCGUCCUUGGGCGCGCACUCGCAGUCGCAGCCGUCCAGCUUCUGGUAGGGGUAGUUGUCGCAGGUGAUGUACCCGCCCUGGAUGCACACCACCGGGCACGGCUCCGCCGCCGCCGCCACCCCUCCGAUCUCGCCGAACACGACAAGCCCUGCCAGAAAUGAAGCUCAAUCAAGAAUGAUGCAUUAUCCCAAGAGCAACGAGCCAUGAAUUUGUAAGGGAUGCAAAGAAAGAAAAAUCUCGGAAACUCGGACGGAUCCAUGCCUGAUAGAUUAGGUUGGCUAACAAAUGUGACAUGAG
rnacentral:lncRNA from 1 species